CCUGAACCGUGGCCACCCCUACUCAAGACCACCCUGGACCCAGUAACACUGAACUAAAAGCUCAUUUGUAAUUGAACUUUAGCAAAUGGACGAAACUGAUUUAGCUCAUUUAAAUAACAAAGGAACUAAGCUCCGCUAAUAUGUAGCUGCCUUACUGAAAAUGAACUUAAGCUUGAAUUUGGCUGGUAAGGCUCAAAGCUCAAGCUCUACUUCGACUCACAUCGGCAAAUUGAAAUUACAUGCAAGGAAAUUGCAAACCAAUUGAACAUAUAAAACAACUUUCAACUUGUGUUCAGAUGAAGGAAAAAAUCAGAAACUAGUUCUGGAUAUAAACGAAUUUCAAUUUCUAUAUCAUUAAUUAAAUGCUUAGAUUCAUCCAAAAGCAGCAUUUGGAACUGUGACAGAUUUGUAAGCCUGUUCACAAAAAGCCUAAUUCAAUUCAUAAAUGCUCAGGCAGCAUUAUUUAUAUCAUUCAAUUCACAAAACGCCAGUUCACAUAUCAACAUCCCAUUCCAAUUCUAAUAAAAAGUUAACCAUUAACAAGUAAAUGUAGAGCUUUUAUAACCAGGAAACCAACAAGGUAAAUAGGCAUCAAAAUUAUGUAUGAAGCACAGGAAAAUUACAUGAAAAAUAUUUUUUUUAACAGAAUUAAGGGACAAAGUUUCAACUGGAAAGCUCAC
rnacentral:misc_RNA from 1 species